rnacentral:rRNA from 1 species
AGGACGAACGCUGGCGGCGUGCUUAACACAUGCAAGUCGAACGAGGUGCUUCGGCACUUAGUGGCGAACGGGUGAGUAACACGUGAGCAACCCUGCCCUUGGCUCUGGGAUAGCCUCCGGAAACGGGGAAUUAAUACCGGACAUGACCUUCUCCUGCAUGGGGGAGGGUGGAAAGUUUUUUCGGCCAGGGAGGGGCUCGCGGCCUAUCAGCUUGGUUGGGGGGGUAACGGCCCACCAAGGCGACGACGGGUAGCC